GAGGUCGUAGAGGAUGUCCGACAUGCAUGUGCAGACGAAGGUCACGUUUUGCUGCUAUUGAAUAGAAACCGAGACGCAUAUCCAUUAUCCGAAGUUGCUGUGGUACAGAUUUGUAUAUUUUCGUGUUAUAUAUGUGGAAGUUUUUACAUAUUGUACAAUCUUAAUUUUUUACUGACACCUUUUCAGAUUUAUUUUCAUGAACAAUACUAAAUAAAGUCCACGUGAAAUAAUC